rnacentral:rRNA from 1 species
UACGAAGGGGGCUAGCGUUGCUCGGAAUCACUGGGCGUAAAGCGCACGUAGGCGGACUCUUAAGUCGGUGGUGAAAUCCUGGAGCUCAACUCCAGAACUGCCUUCGAUACUGAGAGUCUCGAGUCCGAGAGAGGUGAGUGGAACUGCGAGUGUAGAGGUGAAAUUCGUAGAUAUUCGCAAGAACACCAGUGGCGAAGGCGGCUCACUGGCUCGGUACUGACGCUGAGGUACGAAAGCCAGGGGAGCAAACGGG